rnacentral:rRNA from 1 species
UACGUAGGGGGCAAGCGUUGUCCGGAUUUAUUGGGCGUAAAGAGCUCGUAGGCGGUUUGGCAAGUCGGGUGUGAAAUUUCGAGGCUCAACCUCGAAACGCCACUCGAUACUGCCAUGACUGGAGUCCGGUAGAGGAGUGCGGAAUUCCUGGUGUAGCGGUGAAAUGCGCAGAUAUCAGGAGGAACACCUAUUGCGAAGGCAGCUCGCUGGGACGUAACUGACGCUGAGACGCGAAAGCGUGGGGAGCAAACAGG